UUAAUCCUGAUGUGUUCGUCUAUAAAACGUUUUGACCGAACAUUUUUAUACUUGGGAGCCUGACCGUUUCUGUGUUGCGUGCAAGCCUUUAACAUACUUAGCGAGGAAGCAUAAUAGGUAUAGAACAAGGCACCCACCUGCCGAGAGCGGGAUCAAAACAUAGAAAAUUAGACGGCACAAUCGGGAUUAAA
rnacentral:other from 1 species